rnacentral:lncRNA from 1 species
AAAAAUAUGAUGUACUGUCUGAAUAUCUAACACCAUUUUGGUUCGCUAUGCUUCUAAAUGAAUAUGAAAUAGAGUUUUAUGUUUAGAAAAAUUCGAAACAUUCGAAAUUUCGGCAAUGUUUAUUGUUUACAUUAGAGGGUCCUCACAUUGUUAUAAGGAGAACCGAUGCGCAGAACAGACUUGACUUCCACUUUAAAUAUUUGAUAUGUGCCCCCCCCCCCUAUUGAAGGGUCUGGUUAUCCAAUGGGGAAGGAGGGGGUUUUCAUCUUAAGGGAUUUCAUCUUGAGAGAUUUUUAAAAAAAUGAGCAAAAAUUAGAUGUUUUAGGGACCAGCGGACCUGACUGGAAAGUUUGGAAAUUGCGCACCGGAGAUUUCAAAAAUUUAAUAACAAGGGACCCGGUCAUAAAGUAUGUGUACUGGGGUGUGUGGAGGGUAAGUUGGGGGGGGGGUAUGAAACAAAUUUUCUAACUUUUGGGGGUACGAGACGAAUUACGACAUUGGGGGGGGGGGGGNNNNNNNNNNNNNNNNNNNNGGUACGAAACAAAAAAAUGAGUGGAAUACUAUGUCUAUGACAAUCUCGUUCCCAGAGUAUGCCUUUUCGCAGGUUAGGUAGUGGCAUGACUUUCCAUGACUGUGGGAAAAUCAAAUUUUUUUAUCCAAAAUGAGAUAAAUGGCGCAUGCACUUUUAUUGCUUUUGUUUAUUCCGCUUACUAAAUUCGCGCAUACAUAUCCAAUAUUCCGAUACGCAACGAAUAGUAAAAAUGUUUUAACCAUCGGUAAAUACGAAUACCGAUUCGUCACCUGCAGUGCCAAAAGAAACAUGAUCUCAUUAUUAGGAUAUUCACCGACGGUAUGCCGCGGUGAUAGGAUUCACAAUCUGUCAUCUUGGUUUACGGAUGGUAACCUACUUUCACGAUCCGUGACCGU